AACUUUCAACAACGGAUCUCUUGGCUCUCGCAUCGAUGAAGAACGCAGCGAAAUGCGAUACGUAAUGUGAAUUGCAGAAUUCAGUGAAUNCNUCGAAUCUUUGAACGCACCUUGCGCCCCUUGGCAUUCCGAGGGGCACACCCGUUUGAGUGUC
rnacentral:rRNA from 1 species